CCUACGAGAGGCUGCAGUGGGGGAUUUUGCACAAUGGGGGAAACCCUGAUGCAGCGACGCCGCGUGAGUGAAGAAGUAUUUCGGUAUGUAAAGCUCUAUCAGCAGGGAAGAAAAUGACAGUACCUGACCAAGAAGCCCCGGCUAACUACGUGCCAGCAGCAGCGGUAAUACGUAGGGGGCAAGCGUUAUCCGGAUUUACUGGGUGUAAAGGGAGCGUAGACGGCAGCACAAUACUGGAGUGAAAUGCCGGGGCUUAACCCCGGAACUGCUUUGGAAACUGUGCAGCUAGAGUGCAGGAGAGGUAAGUGGAAUUCCUAGUGUAGCGGUGAAAUGCGUAGAUAUUAGGAGGAACACCAGUGGCGAAGGCGGCUUACUGGACUGUAACUGACGUUGAGGCUCGAAGGCGUGGGGAGCAAACAGGAUUAGAUACCCCAGUAGUC
rnacentral:rRNA from 1 species